rnacentral:rRNA from 1 species
AGAGUUUGAUCCUGGCUCAGGACGAACGCUGGCGGCGCGCCUAACACAUGCAAGUCGAACGAGAGAUGAGGAGCUUGCUCUUCAAAUCGAGUGGCGAACGGGUGAGUAACGCGUGAGGAACCUGCCUCAAAGAGGGGGACAACAGUUGGAAACGACUGCUAAUACCGCAUAAGCCCACGGCUCGGCAUCGAGCAGAGGGAAAAGGAGCAAUCCGCUUUGAGAUGGCCUCGCGUCCGAUUAGCUAGUUGGUGAGGUAACGGCCCACCAAGGCGACGAUCGGUAGCCGGACUGAGAGGUUGAACGGCCACAUUGGGACUGAGACACGGCCCAGACUCCUACGGGAGGCAGCAGUGGGGAAUAUUGCACAAUGGGGGAAACCCUGAUGCAGCGACGCCGCGUGGAGGAAGAAGGUCUUCGGAUUGUAAACUCCUGUUGUUGAGGAAGAUAAUGACGGUACUCAACAAGGAAGUGACGGCUAACUACGUGCCAGCAGCCGCGGUAAAACGUAGGUCACAAGCGUUGUCCGGAAUUACUGGGUGUAAAGGGAGCGCAGGCGGGAGAACAAGUUGGAAGUGAAAUCCAUGGGCUCAACCCAUGAACUGCUUUCAAAACUGUUUUUCUUGAGUAGUGCAGAGGUAGGCGGAAUUCCCGGUGUAGCGGUGGAAUGCGUAGAUAUCGGGAGGAACACCAGUGGCGAAGGCGGCCUACUGGGCACCAACUGACGCUGAGGCUCGAAAGUGUGGGUAGCAAACAGGAUUAGAUACCCUGGUAGUCCACACCGUAAACAAUGAUUACUAGGUGUUGGAGGAUUGACCCCUUCAGUGCCGCAGUUAACACAAUAAGUAAUCCACCUGGGGAGUACGACCGCAAGGUUGAAACUCAAAGGAAUUGACGGGGGCCCGCACAAGCAGUGGAGUAUGUGGUUUAAUUCGACGCAACGCGAAGAACCUUACCAAGUCUUGACAUCCCUUGACGACGCUGGAAACAGUAUUUCUCUUCGGAGCAAGGAGACAGGUGGUGCAUGGUUGUCGUCAGCUCGUGUCGUGAGAUGUUGGGUUAAGUCCCGCAACGAGCGCAACCCUUAUGGUCAGUUACUACGCAAGAGGACUCUGGCCAGACUGCCGUUGACAAAACGGAGGAAGGUGGGGAUGACGUCAAAUCAUCAUGCCCUUUAUGACUUGGGCUACACACGUACUACAAUGGCGUUAAACAAAGAGAAGCAAGACCGCGAGGUGGAGCAAAACUCAGAAACAACGUCCCAGUUCGGACUGCAGGCUGCAACUCGCCUGCACGAAGUCGGAAUUGCUAGUAAUCGUGGAUCAGCAUGCCACGGUGAAUACGUUCCCGGGCCUUGCACUCACCGCCCGUCA